rnacentral:rRNA from 1 species
CCUACGGGAGGCAGCAGUGAGGAAUAUUGGUCAAUGGCCGGAAGGCUGAACCAGCAAAGCCGCGUGAAGGACGAAGGUGCCAAGCAUUGUAAACUUCUUUUGUCAAGGGACAAAAUCAGGCUCGAGAGCCUGACCGAGGGUACUUGAAGAAAAAGCAUCGGCUAACUCCGUGCAAGCAGCCGCGGUAAUACGGGGGAUGCGAGGGUUAUCCGGAUUUAUUGGGGUAAAAGGGUGCGUAGGCGGGCUAUUAAGUCAGCGGUAAAGGCCCGGGGCUAAACCCCGGCGAGCCGUUGAAACUGGGUGUCUUGAGAAGUCGAGAGGUAUGCGGAAUGCGCAGUGUAGCGGUGAAAUGCUUAGAUAUUGCGCAGAACUCCGAUUGCGAAGGCAGCAUACCGGCGGCGAUCUGACGCUGAGGCACGAAAGCGUGGGUAUCGAACAGGAUUAGAUACCCCAGUAGUC